UGAAUUGCAGAAUUCAGUGAAUCAUCGAAUCUUUGAACGCACAUUGCGCCCUGUGGUAUUCCGCAGGGCAUGCCUGUUCGAGCGUCAUUUAACCACUCACGCCUAGCGUGGUAUUGGGGCACGCGGUCUCCGCGGCCCUCAAAAUUAGUGGCGGCGCC
rnacentral:rRNA from 1 species